CGAUACCCAUUUUAGCUUGUUGUGUGUAGACGUCAAGAUCUGGGUAAAUUGGACUUGGAGAAAUUUUUCGCAUGUCUGUCGAGGCGUUUAAUCCGAAAAAAGCAUGAAGGAACUUCAGAUGGCGAAAACUUCUGACUGGCAUUCUACGCAGCUUAUCAGGCCGGAAUAAAGUUGGUCAGCUUAGAAGUAGUAUCCCGAACUCGGUUCCGAUGCAGGCGGAAAGAAUAUUCAACGGGCACCAUCUGUAAUGGUCACAGGAUCUGUCUCAGCUCGAGUGUCAGCUUGGUGCGAAAGUUUUAGCAAAAAUUUAAACAGUGCUUGGGAAAGAAGGUUGCAACAUGCAAAUGUGAAUCGUUUCCAUCGUCAAAGGAGCCGUUUUGCGAUAAAUUUAUUAAUACUUAAUGUAGAAAACUUGAGACAUCAAUAAAUCGGUUAUGUUGUAGUUUA